rnacentral:rRNA from 1 species
AACGAACGCUGGCGGCAUGCCUAACACAUGCAAGUCGAACGAAGCCUUCGGGCUUAGUGGCGCACGGGUGCGUAACGCGUGGGAAUCUGCCCUUUGGUUCGGAAUAACAGUUGGAAACGACUGCUAAUACCGGAUGAUGACGAAAGGCCAAAGAUUUAUCGCCAGAGGAUGAGCCCGCGUAGGAUUAGCUAGUUGGUGUGGUAAAGGCGCACCAAGGCGACGAUCCUUAGCUGGUCUGAGAGGAUGAUCAGCCACACUGGGACUGAGACACGGCGCAGACUCCUACGGGAGGCAGCAGUGGGGAAUAUUGGACAAUGGGCGAAAGCCUGAUCCAGCAAUGCCGCGUGAGUGAUGAAGGCCCUAGGGUUGUAAAGCUCUUUUACCCGGGAUGAUAAUGACAGUACCGGGAGAAUAAGCCCCGGCUAACUCCGUGCCAGCCGCCGCAGUAA